GGCUCCCAACCCCAUUAAUGCAAUCCUGCCCAGUUGCAUUGCUUCCUCUCCCAGAGAGACCUGUACCCCCUCUCUCCCAGCUGCUUCUUUCACCUAUAACCCUCGGCCGGGGCCGUUGGGGGUGGGGGGAGUUCUGUUGCAGAAGCUUGUCGAUGGAAUUUGGUUAAGCAAAGAUGUGUUUUAAACACCCGCCAAAUUCCACAUCUGCCACUCAGGGGAGUGGAAACAGAAACCGAUCCGGUCGUUUUCUUGCGGUACAAUUUAUCCCAGACCGACAAGCUGAAAAAACCGAAGGUAGACUGGACCCCGCGUUCAUACCGCACGCACUGAGAAUUAAUGAAACAUUCACUCCGUUAGCUCGGAGUCAGGCCGCUGCUGGGAAAAGUUUUGUCUGUGCGUUUGUGUGUGGAGGACUGUCCUCCGCCCUGGGAUACUCCGAUUGGGAAGAGCUCCCUUUUAUUUUCAACGCAUUUACCAGUCAUUUCGGGACCUGGAGCCGUCCCGGCCCCGUUAGAAGUGAACGAGGUGGCGAAUCAGCCGCAUUGCCUGUCACUGAGUUAUGUUAUACAUGUGUUUAUAAACCUCUGUAUGAGGUCAAACCCCCACACCCCUCAGCUUCCAACGCUAGAGGGGAAAUAGCCCCAGGCUAUUUAGCAUCUCCGUGUAGCUCAAACCCUGUCAACGCCGUUGUAAUUGCUUUCAUGCGGACACUGUUUUCCCUCUGAGAGAGCCGGGUGAGAGCUGUGGUUCGCAGAGGUACGUACCUCUCUGCCCAACACCAAGCUGAGACCUAGUGUGUGCAACAGGAUUUUGGGAUGUUGGGGAAAGAGAGACAGAUAGAGAGAAGGGAUGGGGAGGUUAAACCGAGUGCACGGGGGCAAGGUUCUGGUGUUUAUCGGUCACUACUUGGUGUUUUCACUGUCCCGCAAAACCCGGCAUCACCUUUCCGAAAAGUCAGCCUGCGGGUGCAGUUACCACUCCUGGCGUGUUUGUUUCACAGGGGGCUCCAGCUUUCCAUCUCUCUCCCUCGGCCAGCUCAGCGGGGAGGUGCGCCAGAGCAGCCUUUCAGCGGUGCACUGACACACCGUGCGCCUCGCAAUGUUCAGAACCUGCCGCUCGCCACGACCGAAGCCCACCCCGUCCGCGGUAAAAUACGGACCGUGGCCCGGAGCGGCUACCUCUCUUUAAUCUUAGACAAUGGGGACAUUUAUACAAAGGCCCAAAUGCACUGGUUCUUUGUAAUCGGGUACCAAAUGACUGCCUCGCUGUUGGGUUGAGGCAAACGAGUGGCAUUCCUGAAUCAACAGGGCAGCUUAAUUCGUUACACGUGGAUCCCAGACAUGAUAUAUCCAGCAUAGAACAUCGUAAAAAGAACAAGAAGCAGGAGCAACCCCCCUCCCCGUGUGCUGCUUCGCCAUUUGAUAGGCAUCUGAAUGUACUCCAUAGCAUUCUGGCGUACCCAUGAUAAUGGUGUAUGUGUACUAUAGCAUUGCAUUUAAUCUGGGAUAUAGCGCUGGUACACCUGUAAUAAAAUAUUGCAAUACAUCUGUAAUGCAACAUGGUGAUAUAGCCGUAAUAAAUCAUGUGAAAUAUCUGCAAUAUUACACCAUGGUACAUAUGUAACAAAACACUGUGAUA